UCAUCUCCGGGGGUAGAGCACUGUUUCGGCUAGGGGGCCAUCCCGGCUUACCAACCCGAUGCAAACUACGAAUACCGGAGAAUGUUAUCACGGGAGACACACGGCGGGUGCUAACGUCCGUCGUGAAGAGGGAAACAACCCAGACCGCCAGCUAAGGUCCCAAAGUCAUGGUUAAGUGGGAAACGAUGUGGGAAGGCCCAGACAGCCAGGAUGUUGGCUUAGAAGCAGCCAUCAUUUAAAGAAAGCGUAAUAGCUCACUGGUCGAGUCGGCCUGCGCGGAAGAUGUAACGGGGCUAAACCAUGCACCGAAGCUGCGGCAGCGACACUAUGUGUUGUUGGGUAGGGGAGCGUUCUGUAAGCCGCUGAAGGUGGACUGUGAGGUCUGCUGGAGGUAUCAGAAGUGCGAAUGCUGACAUAAGUAACGAUAAAGCGGGUGAAAAGCCCGCUCGCCGGAAGACCAAGGGUUCCUGUCCAACGUUAAUCGGGGCAGGGUGAGUCGACCCCUAAGGCGAGGCUGAAAAGCGUAGUCGAUGGGAAACAGGUUAAUAUUCCUGUACUUGGUGUUACUGCGAAGGGGGGACGGAGAAGGCUAGGUUAUCCGGGCGACGGUUGUCCCGGUUUAAGCGUGUAGGCUUGCAUUCCAGGCAAAUCCGGAAUGCUUUAAGGCUGAGGCGUGAUGACGAGUCACUACGGUGAUGAAGUAACUGAUGCCCUGCUUCCAGGAAAAGCCUCUAAGCUCCAGGUAACACGAAAUCGUACCCCAAACCGACACAGGUGGUCAGGUAGAGAAUACCAAGGCGCUUGAGAGAACUCGGGUGAAGGAACUAGGCAAAAUGGUGCCGUAACUUCGGGAGAAGGCACGCUGGCAUUAGGUGAAGGGACUUGCUCCCGGAGCUGAAGCCAGUCGAAGAUACCAGCUGGCUGCAACUGUUUAUUAAAAACACAGCACUGUGCAAACACGAAAGUGGACGUAUACGGUGUGACGCCUGCCCGGUGCCGGAAGGUUAAUUGAUGGGGUUAUCCGUAAGGAGAAGCUCUUGAUCGAAGCCCCGGUAAACGGCGGCCGUAACUAUAACGGUCCUAAGGUAGCGAAAUUCCUUGUCGGGUAAGUUCCGACCUGCACGAAUGGCGUAAUGAUGGCCAGGCUGUCUCCACCCGAGACUCAGUGAAAUUGAAAUCGCUGUGAAGAUGCAGUGUACCCGCGGCAAGACGGAAAGACCCCGUGAACCUUUACUAUAGCUUGACACUGAACAUUGAGCCUUGAUGUGUAGGAUAGGUGGGAGGCUUUGAAGUGUGGACGCCAGUCUGCAUGGAGCCAACCUUGAAAUACCACCCUUUAAUGUUUGAUGUUCUAACGUAGGCCCGUAAUCCGGGCUGCGGACAGUGUCUGGUGGGUAGUUUGACUGGGGCGGUCUCCUCCCAAAGUGUAACGGAGGAGCACGAAGGUUGGCUAAUCCUGGUCGGACAUCAGGAGGUUAGUGCAAUGGCAUAAGCCAGCUUGACUGCGAGAGUGACGGCUCGAGCAGGUGCGAAAGCAGGUCAUAGUGAUCCGGUGGUUCUGAAUGGAAGGGCCAUCGCUCAACGGAUAAAAGGUACUCCGGGGAUAACAGGCUGAUACCGCCCAAGAGUUCAUAUCGACGGCGGUGUUUGGCACCUCGAUGUCGGCUCAUCACAUCCUGGGGCUGAAGUAGGUCCCAAGGGUACGGCUGUUCGCCGUUUAAAGUGGUACGCGAGCUGGGUUUAGAACGUCGUGAGACAGUUCGGUCCCUAUCUGCCGUGGGCGCUGGAGAAUUGAGGGGGGUUGCUCCUAGUACGAGAGGACCGGAGUGAACGCACCACUGGUGUUCGGGUUGUCAUGCCAAUGGCAUUGCCCGGUAGCUAAGUGCGGAAAAGAUAAGUGCUGAAAGCAUCUAAGCACGAAACUUGCCCCGAGAUGAGUUCUCCCUGACUCCUUGAGAGUCCUGAAGGGACGUUGAAGACGACGACGUUGAUAGGCCGGAUGUGUAAGUGCAGCGAUGCAUUGAGCUAACCGGUACUAAUGACCCGUGAGGCUUAACCUU
rnacentral:rRNA from 1 species